rnacentral:rRNA from 1 species
AAUAUUGGUAAAUGGAGGCAACUCUGAACCAGCCACGUCGCGUGAAGGAUGACGGCCCUACGGGUUGUAAACUUCUUUUAUACAGGAAUAAGGUGAGUCACGUGUCACUUUUUACAUGGACUGUAUGAAUAAGGAUGGGCUAAUUCCGUGCUAACAGCCGCGGUAAUACUGAGGAUCCAAGCGUUAACCGGAUUUAUUGGGGUUAAAGGGUGCGCAGGCGGAAGAUUAAGUCGGCGGUGAAAUUUUGCAGCUCAACUGUAAAAGUGCCAUCGAUACUGGUUUUCUUGAGUGUGGAUGAAGUAGGCGGAAUUUGUGGUGUAGCGGUGAAAUGCAUAGAUAUCACGAGGAACUCCGAUUGCGCAGGCAGCUUACUAGGCCAUAACUGACGCUCAGGCACGAAGGCGUGGGGAUCAAAC